UGGGCAGGAUGCGCGGAUGGGCAGGAUGCGCGGAUGGGCAGGAUGCGCGGCCCGGCAGGAUGCGCUGCGCGUCCAGGGCAUUGUGGACCAUUGUGUAACAGGAACGGUUCUCUCAGAACUGACUCAGGAAAUGGGUCUGGUGAGCGUCUUUUUUCCUUCUGCAAGGGAUGCUGGGACACGGGGAACUGUGGGAUACUGGAACUCCCUGUGCUGGCUUUGGCACGGAUAUUCUCCGGGUCCAGACUGAAAAUACUCCUUCAGGUUGGUGCAUGCCAGGAUGUCUGAAGUCUCGGGAAUAAAAGGUGACAACUGUGUUCUGGAAGCAUUUAUGACCAAAAAUGGUGUUGUCUGAAUUUGUCAGUCCCUGUGACUGCUCUUCUGGCAUUUUCUGUCAUUCCUACUGUUGCACUGGGGUGAGUGAUCUGGUCUGGGCAGUGUCCCUAAAGGUAAGGGGCUGGAAUUAGGCCUGUGUUACAGAUGGCUGUGUGAAGUGUGGAAACUGAACUGUAAAACUCACACUAACUCUGCACAACCGGUUUAACACACAAAAGACUCCUCCUAAUUCCAUUUGUCACUUACCUUCCCAGAGUUUGCCCAUGAAGAGAGAAGGGAGAGAAGCCCUAUAGCCAAGAGCCCUUUAAAAAGCAUAAAUUAAAUUCCUACUCUGAAUUAGUCUCAAGGGGAAUGAACGUGGGAGAAGCCUGCUGGCCUCAUUAGGGCCUAAAGAUGAGUAGGUGAGGGCUGAUCCUUGUGCAGAUUCCCAUUUCUAAAGAGUUGUCCACAGUUACUUGUUUGGGAUCACAACAAAACAAAAUCAAUCCAGACUUGCAGGUUACCUUUCAGCUGUUGAUCUCUUUCCCUUCUCACAACAUCUUGUGUCUCCUAAACUCACAUAUUCUGGAACAAGUGAGGCAAUGUUACACAUAAUCCCAAUGCAGCCCAGGUUCAUUUCCAGGGCAGCUUCAUUCUUUAUCCCAAAUAGGUAGAGGCAGGAAAAAAACAGUAAAUGAACGGAUAAGAUUACCAUUUAAAUAUCAUAAACUAGACAUGUGAAAGCAUCUAUUUUAAUAUUGUUGUUUUAAAUUAACCAUUUUCUAACUGUUGAAUCUGGAUUUUCUUAUGUGAAUAUUCUUGUAGGGCAGCAAACAAAUGCUGCAGGUUAACAGAGGAAAUAUCAAAAGGAGAAAGAUGUGAAAUGUGGACAUGAACCAGUCUUAGAUACAAGUCAUUUGAAAUCAAUGAUUUGUGGUGUCUGUAGCUCAGUAAAAAUGUGUCCUAGCUCAGGUUUUUGUUGCUGUAGGUCCCAUGAAGUUCCCAUGAUGUGAGAUUUCUCUGUGAAAGCCUCAGAGCCUGACCCUUCUGAACACGUGCAGAGAUGAGGCCUUUGCUGGUUUGUUCUGGUUUCUUUUCCUGUAGGUGAGGAUGAGGACGAGUCUGAGAAUUUCCUGCUCCCCCUCACAGUUUGAUUUAAGGCACCACUCAAAUACUCAGCAGUAGUUUUGAACAAGAAGGAACAAAGGCAGGUUUAUUUCUAUUGCAGGGGAAGAAACAAUGUGUGGGACGAGCUGAGAGUGGGGCAAACAUUCAGCAGCAGCCUGGCCCCUCUGCACGCCUGUGCAUGUGUGUGGCUGUCUGUUCCUGAGUACAUCUGUUUUAUUGGGAAUUCACACAGCACAGGUACAAAGGCUGUGAAUCCUAUCCUAGAUAAACUUGGUACAAAGAUUUUCAAAGGCAUUGGGAUCUCUCCAGUGUUUUGCAGAUCAGGGGACCCCAUUUAAGGCUCAUUUACAAUCAGAGACAGAUUUUUCUUCAGUGAUAGCUUAUCUGUUCCAUAUUUCCCUUUUCUAUGCAAGUAUCCUCUUUGUGUAUAUUAACAUAUUUAUUUGGGGGUAUGAGGAGACAUGUAACACACUUGAUAAAACACUGCUGGUUUAAAGUAUUUUUUUUCCAAACAAGAAUUUAUUAUAUAAAUCAAGACUUUAUUAAAUGGCUGGGCAUAUAUGUAUAAAUUGGAACGGGUCUUGAAGUAUUGCACCCUUAAACUGAACAAAGUGAUUAGGAUAACUGAUAGCUAAAUAAGGUUUUUAUGUGCCUGUGGGAGCCAUAUUAGGAUUGAUUUGACAAGGCAGUUCAGCUGUGGCAACAGUCAUAAUAUCUAACACAACAUUAUGUUUUAUUAGUAAAAUCCUUAAGUGUAGCAAGCUGUUUGUGUCAAAACAACAGUAUAUUUUAGGCAAGAAAAACACUUACUGGAUACAAGGUGCAUCAUCAGGAAUGAUAAUAUAUUGGAGCACUCUUGCAUUAAAGAGAUCUUCUUCUGCCAUCACUGAAUCAAUAGUUAACUGCACACUGGAGUGCUCACUUCAGCUAAACAGGGUCAUUUUGAAGAAAUCCUAACAGUUAUUUUUAAUUUGCUGUUUUAAAAUAUGGUGGCAACUCAAAUACUGCUUCAUAAUAUUUAUCUGCUUUUUUCACAAGGAAAUAAACAGUUGUGCUGGAAGUAUUGGUAAAUAAUUGGCUGCAGUAUGUGGCUGACAGUACCAGAAGAUGUGCAGUUCAUAAUCAUUGCUUGAAUUAGGUUUUUAAUUGCACUAAAGGUUAUUUCAACAGUUACUUAAUUCUGGUUUCCUCUUUGUUGUUGCUUUAUGUAUUUAAUUGUAAUCCCUUUCCAUGUAUAAAAUAGACUCGGUUCACCUGUCCUGGAUUCACCUCUCCUGUGUUCAAGUUAUAAAUCCUAAAAAUUAGAACAAGGAGGUCAUUUGGUGACAUAACCAUUUCUGUAAAAACUGGAUUCCUCUUGUGUGAGGAUUCAAUUUAUUGAAAUAAUUUUGCCAUUGUCCCGUCUGGAUUGCUUGAAACUGUCUUAGUAGAGAAAUUUUAAUGGAGUGCCAGUGAUAUAUUCCUAAACUAGCAAGUUCUUAACGACCCUGGAAAGUGACUGCUUGAUUACACUUUAACGGUAUUUGCAAAUAAAAUCACAAGUAAUUAAGGGGAAAUCUCCAGGCUUUUGAGCAAGUUUGAUGCAUGAUAACUGCCUGAUUCAGCUUCAUCUAGAGUAAUGCUGUGUAGACAAGAGCUACUGAGAUCAAUAGCAACAUAAUGAUAGUGGCAGAAUUAAGUGAGUAACCUGAGAACUGUGUCUCCACAAUGCAUGCAGCUGCCACCAGCCAGGGCCACACAGUGCACUCCUGCUUCCGUCCUAAAUGUUCAUCAAAAGACGCCCUGCAGGAAAAUGGAGUUAGAUGCUCUUUAUUGCUGAUCGUGUCUCUUGCCACAUUUAUCAGGGAAAUUGGAUUAGCAGUUGGCAGCUGCAGGUAGACAAGGUUCUGCAGUGAUUAAAUAUGCAGCUUGGCUGCAUUUGUUGUGACAGACCUUUAGUAAAUUCUACUGUAAGCACCAUCUGUCUAAUUUGUAUAAAGAAAACUUGGUGCUUUAAGCUACUGAUAAAGAACUAAAUGCUUUAUCAUAAACAAAACUUUUGCUCUAAAUUAUCUUAAACGCAAUUUAUUAGGUUAAAGCUAUUUUUUCCUAUCAUAAUAAAUAAAUAAUACAUGCCAAAGUGCUUUCAGGUACUUCAUUUUGCAAGUACUGAAAACAAAAACAGUUAAGUUCUUCAAUAAAAUGCUUAGUAUUGCAAUCCAUGGGGAGAUGACACUGUUAAAAUAUCACUAUGAAAAUGGUCCAGGACUGCCAAAUUCAUUUAAUUUGUGGGUUUUACUAGGACUUUUUAACUGGCUAGGGGUUUUUUUAGGUUUUUAAUAUUUCUGAAAUACACCACUGAAAAACAGUUGUAACAAGAGAGAUCUUUCUUUAUAAAAUACAUUUGUAAUCAUUAUAUCUGCAUACUAAGCAUAUGGUUAGGUUUCCUUUUCAGGGAUAUCAAGUGUAAUUGAAGAUGGCUGAAGUCAUUAUGCAUGUUGCUUUCCUUUUUUCUUUUUCCUUUUUUUUUUUUCUUUGUUUUGUUUUGCUACUUUCUUCUUCGUGUUUUUUAUACUAAUAGGAAAAUUUUCCAGUAUUAAAACAGAGCCUAAUUUUCUCCUAAGAAUGUCAAGAUUUCUCCUGACAAUAUGGGUAAGGAAUGUAUUGCCUGGGCAGUUAGAAUCUCAGUAGUACUUUGUUUAUAGUUGUGACAUCAUCAGAUUUGCUACAAAUGCAUGGAAAAGGGAUCUGAAGAAAAAGCAGUUAAAUAGCAACAUGCUAUCUUUAGCUGGUUUGUAGAAACUCCAUGCUGUUAAAUUAUUUAAAAUCGUUGAUUUUCAGCUUGCACACAUUAAAAGUUUUCACACUAAGUGCCAAAUGUUGCAAACAGCACUUUAACAGAAUGAUUUUGCUUUGAUCCCUGUAGCAGUUCCUGAAUAAUUUAUCACAGGUUAUUGCCUUAAUUCUGGAGAGGGAUAGAGCAAUAAAGGCAGAUGAAAACACUCCAGUUGAAACACCUUGGGGCCUGCUCAUUCCUCUGACACGGCUCUUUUGUUGGAACUAUUUAGAGGUUAUUAAGAUGUGUCUCCAGAAUUAAGAGUAUGCUGUAAGGAUGAAGACAGCCAUCUUAAUUCUAAAGACAAAGCACAAUGACCCUUCACCUUUUUUUCCUUUGUUGUUAUUAUAUAGUAGAAUUAUGAGGGUAAUAUUAUAGCUGCACCCAGUAGUGCCACUAUAGUUAAGGGUCUGUCAGACUUUCCAUUACCAGCCCUGUUUUGGGGGUGGUGGGUGUGAGCAGACUCAUGUGUUUUAGAUGGCCUCAGUCAGACACUUGGCACAUGUUGGCAAGUCAGAGGGGCUUUUCUGGGAAUGUUUACAUCUCCAGCUCCUUUCCCUUGAAAAAAAUUCAUUGAGAAACGGGCUUCAGGACUCCGAAACCAAGUACCUGAAUUUAUUUUAAAAAUAGCUUUGUUAUAAUUAAAUCUUAAGGAAACCUGUCACUGACAUUCAGGGAAGGAUAUUCUGAAACUGAAAUCUGCACAAAAUUGCCUCAUUAUCGAGAAGAGGACUGUAUAAACCCCCAGAAUGCUGACAAGCUCUUUUUGCUGGGUUUCCUGUAUUUGCUGUUCUUUUCUCCUCCUCUCACUCUUUGGCCACUGCUGGUGAGGCCAUUUGCUGUCCCAUUGCCCCAGGAAGGGCUGGGAAAGGAGCAGCAGCCUCAGCUCUUGCUGCCAUCACUGGGAAGUUUGCAGGACACCCGGGAUCCCACAGGAUGGCACACAAAAAGCAGAUGCAAAAGUAUGUAAUCUUGUUUGUCAUUAAUAUAUUUUAUGCACAUAAGUACUAUUUGAUUACUUACAGUGGACUAAAACUAGAUUCUCUUGGGAUUUUAGGAGAUUGGGGGAUAGGUUCUUACUGAGUGUGAGGUAAGAAAACAUGGAAUCUAGGGUGAUUUUUGUUCCUAUUAGAGUUUAAGGGUAUUUUGUACCAGUGACUUAACUGGAUCAGGAUGCAUCUUGGGAUUGUGGAGGCUCUUCUGUGGGCUGUUUAUCCGGUGCUGGCUGUGCCAGUGUGAUCUCACACAACUGAGUUCUGAUGGAAUAAUAAAUCUAUAUCUUAGAUCUUGCAGGUUGAGGUAAUUUAUUAAGAAGUGUGGUUAUGGGCUUUUUGAUAACAAUAUCUCUAAUAAUAGAAAACAAAAAAAUGUGAUUUAUGUAGUAGUUGUUGUUCUUUCACUGGAAUUUGGGGUGUCUGAAGCUGCCCAGUGUUCGUGUAGGUUUCCAGAAACCUGGGGCUGCAGUUCAAACAAAAUUGGGUAUCUACUUUAAUUAGUCGUUUUUAAAGUCUCACAGCCAAACUGUUUCUUAAAUAGAUUUGCAAAAGAGCAUUUUCUUAAACUAUUUUUUGUAGAGACAGAAUAAACCAGGUGGUGGCCUGUGGGUUGGGCUGUCCUUCUCUCGCCCCAUCCCACAAAGCCACACCAAGGGAGCUCUUUGUCCCCAGCAGUGCCUGAACAAAGGUGAGUUCUUGUCUUGCCAGGGGCUGUGGUGGCUCCCCUCCUCCCGUGCCCCAGACUUGCAUUGUGCAGCCUUGUCAUCUCCUUUUUCUGUGGCUGGCAUGGGCAAGGGAACCAAAAUCAGAGUGGAUUAUUUCCACUCCUUGUAUCUGUUGCUGCAUCCCUGGCUGCCUUCAGAGAGAUGUAUAAAUAAUUGCUGCCAAGUUCUUUUCAUUCUUGAUGUUUUGGCCACCUUGUCUGCUGAACAGUGAUUUUCUGUGCAGACAAAGCAGCACACCAAGUAUGAAAAUACAGAUGACUAUAAAGUUACAAUUUUAUAUUGCAUCUUCUCAGUAUUGAACACUUCCUCUCUAGUGAUUUCAGAGUCCCAUUAAAGUUAAUGAGAGUGGAGACCUCUGAGCAUCUUUGUGAGUUCAGGCCAUUUCAAUGCACAACAGAAAGGAAAUGCAAAUAUUAAAAUCCUCUCAGCAACCUCAGUAGUCUUUGGUAAAGAACUCCAUUUGUCCUGGGAUAAAUCUGUGUCUAUGCCGCCCAGGUCAGCAGGCUGAUGAGUCUGUAUAUGAAAAGUAGAAAUUAGGCCUGCUCUGAGCUCACAUGGAGCAUUUUACAAGGCAUCAGACAUAAUUUGUUCUUUAUGUGAUCAAAUAAAAUGAAUAUGUAACUCUUAUGUUUUGUAUUUGUCAACACUAAAAAUAUUGCAAUGGUAGUACCAAGCAGUACAUUACUGAAAACCUUGGGUUUAAAAAGGAAACUCCUUACUUUUUACCAUGGUUCUGUGAUUGUUUUUUUUCCCAGACUCUGUAGAAUGGUGACCUUUUUUUGGAAAAAGAAAAGUACAAUCCCACCUGCAAUUUAGAGAAGAAUACUUAUGUCUGUCAAGGAGAAGUGCAUGCUUCUGUUCAGUGGAUUUCUCCUCAUUCAGACAAGUCCAGCUGCAUCCAGGUAUUGAUCCCAAGCAUUGCAGCACAAUGAGCUGCUAUGAUCACAACUCUUAUUUGCUGUAGUUAAAACAAAAAGGUAAAUGGGAAAAGAAGGGAGGGUCAGGUACCAAUUUUAUUGUAUUAAGUUUAAAUAUCCUUGAUGUUAGCAUGUUUCUUUUUUAGUUUCAAAUAUAUCAUCAGAAAAUGGGCUUAAUAGCAAAGAAAAACUGUUUUACAAAGAGUUGUUAUUCUGUUAUGUUUGAAGCCCCAGUAUUUCAAUAUUGAAAAUGGAAAACACAGAGUAUUAUAAAAAAAUGUCUGUUUACUUACAUUUGUCCAAUUAAUAAACAAUACAAAGAGGCAAGAGAUAAAAGACUAAGCUUUUAAUAUAUUUUAAGGUGAUGUUUAUUCUGUACUGAGUACUACCAGAAAAAGUCACUUAAAAAUCAUUGUUAGAAGAAUGUCUUGAUAAACUUUCCAAGUGAUUGUAGGAAAUACUUUGGGUCUAAGGCCUGUCUGUAAGAAAACAAAUGACACUGGGUAAUCUCUCACCUGAUCACAGUGUUUAGGAUUUAAGCUUUGUCCAGUAGAUGGCAAAAAUGAGCAGAAAUGAUUUCUUUGAAGUCCUUUUGGUCCAGGGAAGAGAGAGGGGGAAGGCAGGGCACUGUUGUAUUUUAGCACCAGGAUGGAGUUGUCUGGCUCCUGGCUCAGAGGAGCAUUGCAAGUACACCAGGGCUGUGCUGGGCUGCCAAACAGGGCUGCUCUGUAGCAGCCUUGCUUAUACUAAUUGAGUUUCUCCAGCAAAUCAGGCUCCUUGGAAAAAGGCCAAAGGCUUUUCAUAAUUGUAUUGACAAGAAAAUGAAUAUGAUAAAUGGUGUUCAUUCAGCUGAGACAAGAUUUAUAGUUUUCCUCUGGCAAGGGAUGAAGAGAAAAUAUUUAUAAUAAUAGUAAAAUUUGUUUUUAAGUUGUGUUAGGUGAUCUCUCAAAAGACUUCAUUAAAAUAUUUCCAAAUAUUUUAAGCAGCUUCAGGUGUUAAGUGUAGCAUCCUCCCAAGUAUCCAGUAAUGAACAAUAAAAAAAAAACAAAACAAAACAAAACACAACACACAAACAACCAAACCAAGAAAACCAACCCCCUGGAUAUGAAAGUCAUUUAUUCUUCCUGAAAUAUUGAUAUGUCAAGCUGUCAAUGACGAUUGCAGUACCACAGCUUGGGAAAGUUUAUUUGUCUUUUGUAUUCAGAACAUGUGGGCUCUGUAGUUUGUGGGUCAGGUCUGAAUGAGCAGGUGUGGCCUUGGCAAACCCUGAGUACCCACAGGUAGACAGGCAAAACCUGGUUUUCCCCAACAGUGGUGAUUCUCCUUAAGUAUUUUAGUCUACUUCCAGGCUGCCUGGGUAAGAUGUUGAGUGUUUAAUCUGUUUUUUCCAUACUAAUACCAGAAUGCAGUCUAAGGUCCUUAGCCUGGAGUCAGAUGCAUCCAUGAAAAUUCAGUUAUGAGUUCAGGGAAAUAUCCAUCUUUUUGUUUUUUCACUUAGUGUUUCUUAGUUAGGUGGGAACCCAGAGCAGUCCAUUCCUGUGCUCCUCCCAGCUGAUGCUUGGGUUUAAGGAUUUCUGUUCUCUCUAAAAGAAAGAGGUUGCAAUAAGAAAAUGGGUCAGAAGAAUGAAAUCAUUAGGUUUACUCAGAGCUGCAGUCAGCUCAGUCGCACCUGAUGUCUGUGGGUGAGUGCAUGAAGCUGCCUAUAGAAAAUAUCUGAGUGUACACAGACUCUGAGCUCACAGAAAAAUGACUUGCCAUGGACAGGGGUCAUCUCAUGCUCAUUUAAAACUUGCAGUUGAGCUGGAUGCUGGGCUGGCUGAUCCUGUGCUGCUCCAAUUGUGGAUUACUGGGACAAGCAGGACAAUCUUUUCACCAAACUGACAGUGUUACAUAUUUGUCCAAAUUCAAAUCAUAUUUCUAACCAAAUAAAACCAUGAACAGUAGUAAGAUGGCUUCUUCAACAUUAUUCUGAUUUUGAAGAACUAAAUUUUUGAUUAUGUGUUUUAACUAUUCAGGUUUAGGUGCAAGCUUGAAAGAGCCAAACUGCUGCAGAGACUGAAGUUUCCUAAUCACAAGAAGAGAAUGCAUUUCUCAUGAGGCAGUAAUCUCUUUGUAAGAGCAGUUAUUGCCCCCUUACAGGGACUUAAACUUCAGUAUUGUUUUUUGCAGCUUGAAUUCCUUUGAGCUUGAACUGACUGCUCAGGUUAAGUUCAUGCCUUAGCCAGAUUCCUUGAAGCUUGUGGUUAGAAACACUUAAAAAUAAUACUCUACUUAAAACCAAUUUAUUCCAUCUUAUUGGAUUUAUAAAAGAAGCAAUAAAUUGCCAAAGCCUUUCUGUUGACCCUGACUUUUAUAAAAUUUGACUGUAGUUUCCAGUCUUUCCUGGUCAAUGAAUAUGGACUCAAUGCUUCAAGUUUCUGAAUUAAGAAGUAUCCUGGAUGUAUCAGCAGCCUUUGCUGCUGGCUUACAUUUUGCUUGGAGCGUUUGCUGUCAAUUUACUCUCCUUGCCAUGAAAUCUGAAAAGGUGAUUGGUUUCUAUGCCAUGAAGUUGCACAGUGGGGCUGUGCAGCGUGGCAGCCUCUCCCUGCAGUGCCAUGGGGGUGCUCACAAGGCCGAGGAAUGGGGAUGGCUUAGGAGAAUCUGUAACACAGCUCAGUUCUGUAGCUUACCUGGCAUCUGCUGCAUUUGGAGAAUGACCACCCUCUCCUGAGAGUGAGCUGUAUUGGAAGUCUACCUCUGUAAAAAUGCAGCUGCCUUUAGUGAGCUUUCAGAGGUAUGAGAUGAUGUGGGUCAUCUGCGCCCUUUGAGAAUAUCUUGGGUAAGUGAGAUUUGAAUUUAAAUCCCAAUUUAUUGCUAGACAGCUCUCCAUGGUGUGCUUAACUUGUUUGUUGGAUUCCAAACGUGAGGAACUCCAUAAAGGAGAGAGAAGCAAGGUCUAAAGUACAUUUAUCAUGUCAGCCUCUUGCCCUGUAUAGCUCAGCUGCAGAGCCUGGGGCAGGUGGCUGCAGGAUGCAGCAGUGUGGAGCUGCCUCAGGCAGCAGUCCGUCCAUCCAUCCAUCCAUCCAUCCAUCCAUCCAUCCAUCCAUCCAUCCAUCCAUCCAUCCAUCCAUCCAUCCAUCCGUCCGUCCGUCCGUCCGUCCGUCCGUCCGUCCGUCCGUCCGUCCGUCCGUCUGUCCAUCUGUCCAUCUGUCCAUGCAGUGCUGCCGUUGAUUGGCAGGGCUGUGGCUGGGCUUCAUCUGCACCCCAGAGCAGAGCUGGGGCUGCAUGGCCUGGAGGUGUGAAACCCUUCCUGCAUGUAUAUAUAUGUAAAUCCAUUGAAUUGUACUGUGUGAUCAGCAAAUGUGUGUGUUUCUUUCUUUCUUUCUUUUAGAAGUGAAUCCAUUGCUGUGUUCAGCUCUGAUGAAGAUCUGAAUAUUUUUCUGUUAUUUUUAAAAUCACAGCAUUUAAGUGUUGAUGGAUCAUCUCCAAACAGAAUUCUUCCCUUCAGAGAAACCAGAAAAGUGAUGUGUCCAUUGGGAAAGACUUGGUCCCUCUGCACAGACAGGAGCUCAGCCUGGCUGCUCCUUUUUCUGAGAAGAACAGAACAUAAAGCAAUAAAAAAAUAUGGCUUCAUGGUAUUGUGCUUCCAUUGUCCUAGGUCAACUGGGAGUUUUCUUGCUAUGUAAACCUACAGGUAUAUAAAAAUGGGAUCUGAGAUACACCUCUGUCCAGUGAACACUUUGACAAGGAAUUAGUGACAAUGAAGUGAGGUGCAUCAGGUGAUUCUUCUCACCCACGGUGGUGAUUGCUGACAUCAUGUGCAUUCUUCCUGAGCCUGGACUACACCAAUCAAGGCAGUUUUGGGUAACACAGAGAUACUUCACACAUAUGGCAUUCUUCAGACACAAUUGUGUCCUCCAGCUGCUGAGCUACUUUAGACUACAUUGUCACCUGCUUCUUCGGGCACUAAAGACAAGAAGACUCUCAGAGGUAGAGACAUUUCACAGGAUGGACAGGGAUUGCUCCACUUCAUGCAGCAGAACCCAGAAGUUCUACACCAGGUGAUGUCAGUCCUGAUGAUCACCAUCAUCUUUGGAGACUGAAGAAACCAAUGGCCUGUGUCAAGAUUGCUGCUUAGACUCACACUUCUUAAUGAGAAGGUCACUCAGAGCAUGCUGGAGAGACGUGGCCAAAGCUCUGCACUGCAAAGGGGCCUCCAAUCCCAAGGGCGUGGACCUGAUUUGACAAGGACUUUGGAAACAGAGAACUGACUGACAAACCCUCUUGGAAAGUGCUGGGACCCUGUUGUUUGUUAGAGAGAUUUUUUACUCUUGUGAAAACUAUUUUUUAAGAUAUUUUCUGCAUUUUUCAAUCUCUAGCCUAAAAUGUAAAGAUUUAUAAUAGUGAAAACAAUGGAAAAUCAGCCUUACUUUGAAGAAUGUUUUCAGCCUUUCUUAUCAAAAUUUAUAAUCCUGUUGUUUUAGCUUUAUGAAACAGUGUAAAAAUAGUGUAUAACUAGAGAAAAAAAAGGAUAUGCAUUCAUUCUGAA